ACUCCGUAACCCGCCUCCUACAAACACCAGAUACCAGAGCCAGUCGACUGUGCCGCAUAAUACUGCAUGAAUCCAAAUUUAAAACUGAAUCCAAAGAGAGGAUUUAUUUGAUCAGGAUCUAGCGAAUUGUGCCCCCAACUAGUACUAGCAAAAGUAAUCACGUUAAGUGAUCGUACCAUGCUUGUGCCAUACCGCCAAGAACUCAGUGUCAAGAGGAAGAGGCGGAGUCAACUGGAAGCAUACAAUUCCCAGCGUUCCAAGUCAGACGUUUUCUUUACUUUAUGAUAGGACAGUAGCAGCCAAUCCAGUACUUUUGUGUUUCUAAGUUACACCCCUAUCAAGUGAAUGCUUAUUUAUGUUGGUAUUUUAGGUUUGCGGCAAGCGAUAGGUGCAGCCUGGGACCCGGUCCAUGCCAAUUGGAGGAAUCCAGAGGGAGAGCCACCAUGAGCUGUGACACCGCUCAAAACAGGGAGCUGGGUGUUGGUUCGUGACCUGAACAGGAAGAGAUGGAACACGCCGAGAUGGAGGGGACCACAUCAGAUCUUAAUGGUGACCCCUCAUGCAGUGAAAGUGGAGGGAGGUGAUGGAUGCCAAUGCUGUGGACUCUGAUUAUUUGUGAAUGGCACAGAUAUCACGUGUUUAAAAGGGGGGAGUGUGGUAGUAAAAUUGGACAUUGGUAGGUCCGGGAGGGAGGCAUAUUGGGUUUAUUAUGUCUUUAGCCUUAGGCAAGAAGAGAUUGUUUUGAAUACUGUGUGACCUGGCUUCGUGAUAGCUCCGAUAGUUCUGCAGACCCUGAAGAAAGCUCGGACCUUGGAGAGGCAGACAGCGGGACAAAAAGGGGGGAGAAACCACCUGCAGGAAGAGAUUUGAAGCUGCCCAAACUGGUGCACAGCGAGUUAUAGCUUUAUAAAAUAGUUGCAGCAGACAAUAUAGUAUGUUACGUGGGAGUGCAAAAGUACAAGUAAUCAUGUUAAUCAUACUAGUCAUAUGUUAACUACGUAUUUGCAGUGAUUCAAUGACGUCAAUGUGUUAAUCAUUAAUCACUGGAACACCCAAACAUUAAUAGUGAUUCAAUAUCAUAUGAUCAAUAUCUACAUACAUAUCUCAAGUAGAGUUUAGAAGCUGAGACAGAUUCCGAUAAAUUGAGCAAGAUGGGUGGAUUUUACCUUGCUACCAAGGUGAACCAAUAGAGCAGGAGAAUUGUGUUUGUUAUAUGUUUGAGCUCAGUUUGUUGGUGUUUUGUGACCAAUCAGGACUUAGAAGUCCGUAUUGGGAAUUGGGAGUUAUGGUUUAUCAACUGGUUGCUCUGUGUGCUCCGUGUGACUUGGUACCAAGUGCCAGAGUGUGAUGAGAGCGCUUUGCUGGAUUGCUGGAAUAAAAG